GAAAUUGUGCAGGUUUGUCCCAGGGCAUUGGUUUUCCCUUUCAUAUCAUGUAUAGCUCCAUGGUGAUGCUUCCUGCUCCUGUUUCUUUCACUUCCUCUUCAUCAAGCCUCCUUUCAGAUAUAGUUCAUUCACAUUUACAUUAAGCUCUCUAAAAUUGUAGUUACUGGAUGCAUACAAAACUCUGAGGUGCCAUAUACGGCAGGGAAAAUAAAUGUUGCUGUGCUUUAUUACAAAGAACAAGGAGCAAAGACAAGGGCAUGGGAUAAAUAAGGAUAUAUACAUAUCGGCUAUUCUCCUGCAGGAACUUACCAUUUGCAAAUGUGACUCACCAAGCAAAAGGAUAUAGUGGUCAGCGUGUAGAAUACUGUGGGCAGAACUGUGGUGAGAAAUACAAAAAGGAACAAGUAAAUCCCUGAAUCCAGAAUGGAAAUGAUACACUUCUUGAAAGAGGUAAGAAUUUGGCCCAGCCCUGAUCAAUGUUUAUGAUUUUUGUGGGAAAAAUCAAAGGAAAAUAAAACACAUACCCAAAAUACUAAGAAUAAAGG
rnacentral:lncRNA from 1 species